UACGUAGGGUGCGAGCGUUGUCCGGAAUUAUUGGGCGUAAAGGGUUCGUAGGCGGUGUGGCAAGUCGGAAGUGAAAUCUCCAGGCUUAACUUGGAGGCUGCUCCCGAAACUGCCAUGCUAGAGUGCGGGAGAGGCGAGUGGAAUUGCAGGUGUAGCGGUGAAAUGCGUAGAUAUCUGCAGGAACACCCGUGGCGAAGGCGGCUCGCUGGACCGCAACUGACGCUGAGGAACGAAAGCUAGGGGAGCAAACAGG
rnacentral:rRNA from 1 species